rnacentral:rRNA from 1 species
GGCUAUUCAUGUCAGGAGGAGUUCCGUCUGGCCCUGUUCAGGACCAGCAAAGGGGCGAACCUGUUCGCGGAUAGGGUGUUCGACCUCUUCGAUCUCAAGCGCAACGGGGUCAUCGAGUUCGGCGAGUUCGUGCGUUCGCUCAGCAUCUUCCACCCCAAAGCACCUGAAUCCGAAAAGACCGUGUGUAUGCAUCCUAUUCCUGCCAUGUGUUCUUGUCCUCUCCCCCCUAUGAAAGGAGAUCAGUCAGCAUCGCUUCUUUCUCUCCAUCCUUCUCCUUGCAGUUGCAUUCAAGAUGUAUGA